rnacentral:lncRNA from 1 species
GGAGGCAGUAGCAUGGUAACACCUCAAAAUCAAGCAUCCAGCAGCUGAAUCCGAAAAACACAAGAACAAGUUGCAACAAAGAAGAUAAGCUGUGGAAGCUAGGAUUUCAGAAAAUUUAGAUUUAAGGACAAGUGCCAAUCAAGGAUAAAGCUGAAACUGCAGAGAGCCCCG